UGGCGUGAGGUGAGCUGGUGUGCAGGUCAUAAAAGGCACUGUGGCUGCCACCUUGCUCUCUGGGAAGGUAGCCUUCAUGUUGUGGGGAAACUCAAGCAACCUUGUAGAGAGGUUCACACAGCGAGCAACUGGGGUCUCCUGCCAACAGCCAUGUGAGGCAGCCAUUGUGGAAACAGACCCUCCAGCCCCAGUCAAGCCUUCAGAGGAGUGAGCUUUGGCCGACAUCUUAACUGUGGUAUUAUGAGAGACUGUGAGCCAGCACCACACAACCAAGCUCCUUCCACACUGUUGCAACCAUGAGAUAAUAAAUGUACAUUGUUUGAAGCUAUUAGGUUUGGGAGCAAUUUGUUAUGCAGCAAGAGGUAACUGAUACAUGGGGGUAUCGGACAACUGAACACCGAAAUGUGAGUAAAAGGACUUCACAGACGUCAGGAGGAGUUUCUUGCCUCAGGCCUCUGGGAUUUUCCAGCUUUCCUUCUACCAACUUGAGCUAGAUUGUUUACAAGAAACUGGCAGGAAUUAUCCUCCUCCCUGGAUCCCUAGCUCUUAGCAAUGUGACUUUGAUGACCCUCUCAUCAAAAUAAGGAGUCUGUUCUUCCUGCCCUUAAAUCCAGGUGAUUGCAGCGGGACCCACUGUGUGUUGGUGCCGGGCUGCACCCCUGGCCUGCGUCUGCUUUUUCUCUUGGAACCCCUGCCACUGUGAUGUGAACUGGCCCAGGCCUGUCUGCUGAAGGAUAAGCAGGUGACAGUAAGGGAAUGCUGAAGCCAGAGGUCUCUAAGUUCAAAUCCCGGUUCUGCUUAGUGUUCCUGUUGUCCCAGCUGACAUUCAGCUAACCCUCAGGACCUGAGCCUCCUCGCUGACCUGCAGCUGACAGCAGAGAACACGACAAAGCCCAGCUGAGAUCAGAACGGCCACCUAGCUGGGCUCAGCCUGAAUGGUCAACCCAUAGAAUCACGAGCUAAAUACAUGUGUUAAGUCACUAAGUUUUGGACUGGUUUGUUCUGCAGCAAUAGCUAACUGAUACACGCCACUAUGCCCCAAGGCAAGCAUGUGUAUUUUAUUUAUGCUAAUAAAU